UACGUAGGGUGCAAGCGUUAAUCGGAAUUACUGGGCGUAAAGCGUGCGCAGGCGGCUUUGCAAGACAGAUGUCGAAAUCCCCGGGCUUAACCUGGGAACUGCAUUUGUGACUGCAUGGCUGGAGUGUGGCAGAGGGGGAUGGAAUUCCGCGUGUAGCAGUGAAAUGCGUAGAUAUGCGGAGGAACACCGAUGGCGAAGGCAAUCCCCUGGGCCUGCACUGACGCUCAUGCACGAAAGCGUGGGGAGCAAACAGG
rnacentral:rRNA from 1 species